UACUAGUGUAUUAAAUAAACCCAUACAGAUAUUCUUGCUUGCAAUAUUGCCACCUAGUCAAAAUUUUACGACGGAGUGGAAAGUUGCUGUGGAAAACCUCAAGGCAAAUGCAACACAUUUAUGUUCCCAAAUGCUUUGUCAUUAUGUAAAAGAUUUAAAGCGUGGCAACUCUUGACUGGAACAUAUGUACAUAUAAACGUUUUCCAAUGCACGAUACACAAGCGAACAGAAUUUAUUCUGCACUGAUACACACAUGCGUAUGUCCGAAACUAAUCGCUUGGGUUUUUGCGACCAUUUAGGUUAUGCACACUUAGGUUAUGUCAGAAAGUUUCGCUUUUGAUCGUAUUGAGUCCGCAUUCAACAUUAUUAUUUUACAACAUUGUACAUUAUUUUACUUCAAUUGAGAACAUUAUAAUACCAACGCAUAAGAUUAUACUUCGUACAUUCUAUCCGUGGUGGGCUGUUGGAAAUCUUUUUGUUUUAAUGACAAAGCGCUUGUUUUCGGAUGAGUACGCACACAAAAACAUUCACUACUCGUGCUAAUUCAUUUUAACACACACGAUUUAAAUAAAAAGUAACAAUACGAUGCUCUCACUCGCACUUCGCCUGGAUCACGACACUCUUCUAGGUAGUUGACCGAUAUUUCCUUAAACCAAUCGAUAUUAAUCAAUCUUAGGUAAUACCCAGCUUACACAAUUUCCUAAAAUGAGUGCUGUGACCCGUUCACACCGAAGAAAAAGGUCAAGCACAACAGAAGGAAUAAUUCAUACAAAUAAAUUAGCUUCCUUGAUAUAAUUCAAAUCAGAGCUGUUUUAAAAAAGCUCUAACUUAUACAACUCUCGGCCAUUUCUAACAUUCAAAGGAAAUUUCGGACAUUGAUACAAUACAGUGAGAUAACAAGCAUCUAUAAACGUUAAAGCCUUAUUGAAGCGAGAAAUGAAACAGGUUUGGAAAAUCCGAAUAAAUGUGAUCACUUCGGAAAUGAAAAUUAGACAGGUCCGAGGAGGUGUGAUUAUUUUGGCAGAUUUAAAAUUAACUUUAAAUAACUGAAACGCGCAUAGUUUGCAAAACAUUCGUGCAAGCUACUAGGUACGACCGACCAACAAUUUUCCGUUUUUGUAAAAGACUGAAGUUAAAGAAUGAAAACUAUUCAUUUAAUAAUAUGUUACUUAUUUUAUUAAAUCUAUGUUAAAAAAUUACACCUUAAUAAAAUUAUGCUUAUAUAAAGACUUACGGCCGAUCAACAUUAAUAUGUACGUUUUGGUGUUUUUGCCUUGAAGUCAAAUGAAAUUAUGUUUUAAAGAAACUGCUCUCCUUCGACUAUCUAUGAGAUUUAUAUAGGUUUUACCAAUUACUGAGAAAAUCGAAACCCUUAGGCAUUUUUAGUUCAGGAGAUAACAGUUUUGUAUUUUCGUCAUGACGUACAUCUUUAAAUUCGUUUUCAUAAU